rnacentral:rRNA from 1 species
GAGUCAUUGGGACUCAAUUAAACCUAAAGGCGCAAUGAAAGUAAAGGUCCGCCUCGCGCGGACCUAGGGAGGAUGCGCCCGACCGCGGUCGGGCGCCGCACUCCCGGGGCGUCUCGUUCUCAUAGCGAGAAGAGGCGCACCCAGAGCGUACACGCUGGGACCCGAAAGAUGGUGAACUAUGCCUGGUCAGGACGAAGUCAGGGGAAACCCUGAUGGAGGUCCGUAGCGAUUCUGACGUGCAAAUCGAUCGUCGGAACUGGGUAUAGGGGCGAAAGACUAAUCGAACCUUCUAGUAGCUGGUUCCCUCCGAAGUUUCCCUCAGGAUAGCUGGCGCUCGCCUUUGCGAGUCUCAUUCGGUAAAGCGAAUGAUUAGAGGCAUUGGGGUCGAAACGGCCUCAACCUAUUCUCAAACUUUAAAUGGGUGAGAUCUCCGGCUUGCUUGAACGGUGAAGCCGCGAGAGAUCAUACGGAUCACAGAGUGCCAAGUGGGCCACUUUUGGUAAGCAGAACUGGCGCUGUGGGAUGAACCAAACGCCGAGUUAAAGCGCCUAAAUCGACGCUUAUGGGAUACCAUGAAAGGCGUUGGUAACUUAAGA